GUGCCAGCCGCCGCGGUAAUACGGAGGGUGCAAGCGUUAAUCGGAAUUACUGGGCGUAAAGCGCGCGUAGGUGGCUUGAUAAGCCGGUUGUGAAAGCCCCGGGCUCAACCUGGGAACGGCAUCCGGAACUGCCAAGCUAGAGUGCAGGAGAGGAAGGUAGAAUUCCCGGUGUAGCGGUGAAAUGCGUAGAGAUCGGGAGGAAUACCAGUGGCGAAGGCGGCCUUCUGGACUGGCACUGACACUGAGGUGCGAAAGCGUGGGUAGCAAACAGGAUUAGAAACCCCUGUAGUCC
rnacentral:rRNA from 1 species